rnacentral:rRNA from 1 species
AUUCCAGCUCCAAUAGCGUAUAUUAAAGUUGUUGCAGUUAAAAAGCUCGUAGUUGGAUUUCUUGUGCGUCAAGCAGGUCGGCUCAAAGAGUCUGUACUAGCUCUGACGUACAAUCCUCGUAACAAGCCUCCGGUGAGUUAACUCCAUUCGGCGGUGAGUUGCGUCAUUACUGUGAACAAAUUAGAGUGUUUAAAGCAGGCAAAUGCUGUGAAUACAUUAGCAUGGAAUAAUAAGAUAGGACCUAGAGUCUAUUUUGUUGGUUGCGAUUUUAGGUAAUGAUUAAUAGGGAUAGUUGGGGGUAUUCAUAUUCAAUUGUCAGAGGUGAAAUUCUUGGAUUUAUGGAAGAUGAACAACCGCGAAAGCAUUUACCAAGGAUGUUUUCAUUA